UACGUAGGGUGCAAGCGUUAAUCGGAAUUACUGGGCGUAAAGCGUGCGCAGGCGGUUAUGUAAGACAGGUGUGAAAUCCCCGGGCUCAACCCGGGAACUGCGUCCGAUACUGGCAGGCUUGAAUCCGGGAGAGGGAUGUGGAAUUCCAGGUGUAGCGGUGAAAUGCGUAGAUAUCUGGAGGAACACCGGUGGCGAAGGCGGCAUCCUGGACCGGCAUUGACGCUGAGGCGCGAAAGCCAGGGGAGCAAACGGG
rnacentral:rRNA from 1 species